AUGACGCGUGUCCGAGGAGACAUAGUGCUGACGCAGCCUGGACAGGAACUGAAGAGACCAGGGGAGUCAUUGAAGCUGACCUGCGCAGUUUCUGGCUUCAGUCUCAGUGGCUAUUGGACAGCUUGGCUGCGACAGAAGGCUGGGAAGAGUCCAGAGUGGCUUGGGGAGAUAAACGGUGAUGGGAGCACAAUAAACUACAUCGCCUCCAUCAAAGGAAGGUUCGCAAUCAGCAAAGACAACAGCAAAAACAUGCUGUAUAUCGAGCUGAACAGCUUGAGCGCGGGCGACACAGCUGUGUAUUAUUGCGCCAAAUACACACAGAGACACAAGGGAGCUACCAGCCCUGUCAACAACUCCACACCACCACAAACACAGCCUGAGUUACAGCAUCACAGCUCUGUCCAUUGGUUAGUCUACAAACCACGGUCUUGA